rnacentral:rRNA from 1 species
UACGGAGGAUCCAAGCGUUAUCCGGAUUUAUUGGGUUUAAAGGGUGCGUAGGCGGAUAAAUAAGUCAGUGGUGAAAGCCUGCAGCUUAACUGUAGAAUUGCCAUUGAUACUGUUUAUCUUGAAUGUAGUUGAGGUGGGCGGAAUAUGACAUGUAGUGGUGAAAUACUUAGAUAUGUCAUAGAACACCGAUUGCGAAGGCAGCUCACUAAGCUACGAUUGACGCUGAGGCACGAAAGCGUGGGGAGCAAACAGG